rnacentral:lncRNA from 1 species
AUGUGUGUUGAUGGCACAGCAUGUACUGUACCACGGUACCUGUCAUGCCAAGGGGCAAAGCACAAUAGAUCCACUACUGUGGAACGCAGUAGGUCUGGUAAUGGUCUGGGCUCUCGGAUGGUGGUUGAACGCAGGGGUCUGGUAAUGGUCUGGGCUCUCGGAUGGUGGUUGAACGCAGGGGGUCUGGUGAUGGUCCGGGCUCUCGGAUGGUGGUUGAACGCAGUAGGUCUGGUGAUGGUCUGGGCUCUCGGAUGGUGGUUGAAUGCAGUAGAUCUGGUAAUGGUCUGGGCUCUCGGAUGGUGGUUGAACGCAGGGGGUCUGGUGAUGGUCUGGGCUCUCGGAUGGUGGUUGAAUGCAGUAGAUCUGGUAAUGGUCUGGGCUCUCGGAUGGUGGUUGAACGCAGGGGGUCUGGUAAUGGUCUGGGCUCUCGGAUGGUGGUUGAACGCAGGGGGUCUGGUAAUGGUCUGGGCUCUCGGAUGGUGGUUGAACGCAGGGGGUCUGGUGAUGGUCUGGGCUCUACAACAUACUCAAAUAUGGCUCUACUUUGCAAAAUGA